UACGUAGGGGGCAAGCGUUGUCCGGAAUCAUUGGGCGUAAAGAGCGUGUAGGCGGCCAGAUAAUUCCGCUGUGAAAUCUCGAGGCUCAACUUCGAGCUGUCGGUGGAAACUGUCUGGCUAGAGUCCGGAAGAGGAGAAUGGAAUUCCUGGUGUAGCGGUGAAAUGCGCAGAUAUCAGGAAGAACACCCGUGGCGAAGGCGAGUCUCUGGACAUUUCCUGACGCUGAGGCACGAAAGCCAGGGGAGCAAACGGG
rnacentral:rRNA from 1 species